UGCGUCCAGUUGCCUUCUAUCUUUCCUUGCUGCAAUUAUUUUCUGAGCCAUGUCUUCACCAGCAAUUUCCUUAAUUUCAAGUUCAACGUCCCUGAGACUCAGCCAUGUCUUCCCAGCAAAGAGAAAUGCAAUUCUAUACAACGCCAUGUCCUGUGGCAGAGUCUAUCCUUUGAAGCCGCUGUCUCUUAACAGAAUCUUCAUCAGAAUCCCAUAUGGGUCCUUUAAGAAAGCCUCAUUUUUCACUUUCUCCAGGCCCUUUUCUCCAGUCAUGGAAUGGCAGGAUUGCACGGCAAGGAUUGAAGUUGAUGUGCCUGCUUCCGUGGCUUACAAUUGUUACUCUGAUCGUGAAGCAAUUCCCAAUUGGAUGCCGUUCAUUUCAUCUGUCAAGGUAUUGAAAGACGAGCCUGCCUUGUCCAGGUGGUCUUUGAAGUAUAACGCUUUUGGCCGUGAUCUGGAAUACUCUUGGCUUGCUAGGAAUAUGCAACCCAUUCCGAAUCAGAAAAUUCACUGGAGAUCUCUGGAAGGACUUCCUAACAGGUGCUGCAUAUCCCUGAAAUAUGAUGGAAAUGACACAAUGAAAGAUGAUAAUUACCCCACUCACAAGACAAAUAAUAUUUUGAAGACACCUUCUAGAGGAGUUAUAAGAUUAUAAUACUGGAACAUCUUCUUUUCAGUUACCACCUGUUUUCGUUCAAGUAUGCUAUGAAGCACAACUAAUCGAAACAAAUGAGAAUGGCUGUCACCAAAGCUCUUUUGUCCACUUAAGCUUUGGCACUUGUGGACUGUCUUAUCACAUUCGCUUAGAACCUUUCUUUUUCGAUUUUGUACUUGUAUACACGGAGUGUUGUUUGUGCUUGACCCUGAAGUCCUUUUUAUUUUUCCUGGAUAAGCUUUGUUUUCAUUUAUCCAAGCGAUCUUACACUAACAAUUACCUUGAUCAUUUCCAGUAGCUCCUGCUCAGUUCUUUUCCGUCCUCUAAACUGCCUAUUAUUCCUCUCUACAUAUCCAGUAUACAUAAGCAUUCCAGGCCAACCUGAGAAUAAUUGUAAUGACUGAGGAGAGUUUUCCCCUUUUCCAUUUUGCAAUCAUCCGAUUUCCUGCUGGCUAGAGAGAGGCUACCUAUGCAAAUAUCACAGUUGCAGCACCUCCUUCUAUACACAUCAAGAAUAUCGACACUCGACAAAUAAAUUAUCAUUUGUUUCCUCUUCAUCUGGCAUAUUGAACAUCUAGC